AACAGGGCAGUGCAGACAAGAUGAAGAUUGGUCCAAUUCCCGGUGAUUCAGCUAAUUGCUUUGAAAUAUGACUACAAUAUAAAAUCUCUUCAGAGUUCUCUACACAGCGACAAAUCAAGUUUUGCAAUGAGGUUAAUGGCAAUCUUCUAUCUCCAGAUUCUGAAUCUGAUUUGGUUAUCUUAUUCCCUCUUUGCAUUGUCUACUCGUGUGAUGCUAACCCUUCUUCUAGGUAAAGAGAAGUAAAAUGGUAGACAGUAUUGUUUCUCUGAACUCUUAUCUUUCCCAACCAUCAUAACUAAACAAAUUAGCCACUUGAAGAUAUACUAGAUUAGUGUGCACACAAAAAAAAGAAACAUAUACUAGAUUAGUAUAAGAGAAAUAACUAAGAAUAAAACAUCUAGAUCAAAGAAUAUUAUGAAUCCUUCAAGUAUUUCAAUCUACUGUAUUCACCAAUUGCAAUAACCAAGAUCUUACAGAAGCAUCACACAUCCUUUGAAAGCUUCAAUGAUCAACAUAUUGGGAU